CUAUCGGGGCUCGUCGGGGCGGCCAUCAUCUACGUCGAGAUCGCUGGUUACAAAGACUACAACAGCUUCGGGAUCUACGACAUCUACGAUCCCUCCAACCGCGAGCAGCUCUUUGCGGGCUCCGCGAAUGCUUCGAGUGGUGCCUUUUUCUCGCCAGACGGUUUCAGCAGCAAUCUGUUCGGCUUCUAUUUGGAGACACCCGCCGGUCUGUGGUUCUCCCAAUCCGCAUUGAACAGCGACGGUGGCGAUCACUCGGGCGC
rnacentral:misc_RNA from 1 species